AUGGACGCCAAACUGAUGGUGGCCACAGACCCUGGCGAUGUCAAGAAGUUGAAGGAUGUCCUCAACCAAGAGGAUGCUGUGGCGAUGGUCGUGGUGACGGCGGCGAGCAAGAAGCCUUCUGAGGAGGACCAACCACCUGCUGGUAACAUUAUCAAUCCCCUGCUACUGGUAACCGCGCGCGUGGGCUCUUGGGUGGGGCUGAAAAUCCUUCUCGAGAGGGAAGACGCAAAAAAGCCACCGAUGAUGAUUCUUACUCAAGAAUAUCUUGAGUUGGAAAAGAGAGGCAUUGAGAUCGCCCAGGGAAGAGAUGCAGUGUCAAUUGCUCGUGAUGUAGAAGAGGGCGCCGACCACCAGCCUGCUGCUUCGCUUGCAGCUGGAGCACUCCUCAUGGGCGUCACCCCUCAAGGGGAUACUGCACUGCAUGUGGUCGCCAGCACUAAUGGGGAGGGCCAGGAAUUCUUGAUUUAUGCCGGCAUCAUCUAUAAGAGGGACAAGAGCCUCCUGUUUGCGACGAACCACAAGGGUGAUACACCGUUACACUGUGCUGCCCGAGCUGGGAAACCCCAAAUGGUUUCUUAUCUCAUUCAUCUAGCUGCACGUGAUGGUGCCGACACGAUGCUCAGGCUGUUGAGAAUGGAAAAUAAGCGUCACGAGACGGCCCUGCAUGAAGCUAUCCGAGUUGAGAAGGGUAGAAUUCUGGGUCAUAAGGAGAGAACAUUGCUUUAUCCCGCUCAACCCGCUGAAGAAAAGAAUAAGCGUGUUGAGCAGAAAAGAAAAGAGGGUGUCCCAAAUGAAGAAGGCCAACGUCGGGUUCAUAUGAAUAAUGCUGACGGCGCACCAGAAGAAAAUAUUAUUGUGAAGUUGCUAAUGGGUGCUGAUCCCGAAUUGGCUAAUUAUCCUGCAGACGGCAUUUCACCCCUAUACCUUGCCAUCUUGCUGGAGAAGAGCACCAUUGCACUUACUCUAUAUGAUAUGAGUGAUGGCAAUCUCUCCUAUUCCGGAGCAGACGGACAAAAUGCCUUGCACGUUGCUGUUCUUCGAGACAGAGACACAGUGAUGGUAGAAUACCUAUUGAAUUGGGACAAGAGCCUUACUACACAAGUGGACAAAGAUGGGAGUACGCCGCUUCACUUUGCCUCAUCAGUGUUUUUUUGGAUGGGCUCUUAUCUGCAUAUUGAGCGCCUCCGCGUACGCCCAUGGUGUCGUUUUCUAUGGUGUCCAUGGAGAUCUACACGGACCCUCGAGAAAGUAUUGGAGGCGAACCGCUUAGCGCUGUAUCAAACAGACAAGAACGGAUCUUUCCCCAUACAUGUGGCUGCCUCUAUUGGUGCCUUAGGCGCCAUACGGUAUUUCCAUGUCAUUUAUCCGAAUAUUGUUGGACUGAGCGACGCUAAAGGGAGAACGUUCCUUCAUGUUGCUGUCGAGAAUGAAAGACUGCAAAUAGUCCUGUAUGCAUGUCAAACUCCAGGUUUAGCUUGGAUUCUGAAUAUGCAAGACAAUGAGGGGAACACUGCACUACACUUGGCUAUCCAGUCACGGAGCUUUACGAUGUUUUGUGCUCUAUUUGGGAAUCUGGAGGUGAAUUUGAAUCUAACAAAUAACCAUGGGGAAACUCCUCUUGAUCUAUCCAGAGGAGAACUUCCAAGGGCAAUGAGUUAUGGACUGAACCCUGAGAAUAGAAUACACAGCGCCUUGUGGUCUGUUGGGGCGAACCAUGGUGCCUUUCGCUGGGAUAAGGCUGAAGAAGUUUACCGUCAGGGUGUAAAGCCAGAAAAAGAUGCAGAAAUGCUGAAACAGGCAACACAAACGCUAAUCAUUGUUUCAGUCUUAAUAGCAACUGUGGCGUUCAGUGCAAGUUUUGCCUUUCCUGGAGGUUACCGAGCCGAUGAUCAUAAAAAUGGAGGCACGCCAACACUCUCUGGGAGUUAUGCUUUUGACACCUUCAUAAUGGCAACCACCUUAGCUUUCAUCUGCUCCACAGUAGCUACGGGUGGCUUCGCGGUUGCUGCAAUGCCGAUGAUUAACUUGAAUACCCGCAAGGUUAACUGUUCCUUAUCCGUGUUUUGCUUAUCGAGUUCAGUCACAUGCAUGUCUAUUGCUUUUGCAUUGGGUGUGUAUAUGGUGUUAGCUCCAGUUGCUCGCAGUACCACUGUUGCGGUUUGUCUUAUCACUCCGGCCGUAUUUUUAAGUAAAAACGUAGAGACUAUUAUUAAAUUGGCUAUUCUUGCACGACCGUUAUGUACUAGGAAAGGGUUGUUCUCAGGAAUGACAGAGUUAUUAAAGAUGCACACGCUCAUGCUGAUCGUGGCACUUUGGCCCUUUGUCGUUGCCUUCGGUUGGCCCGCCUUGGCAAGAAUCCACCACAACCGCUAA
rnacentral:rRNA from 1 species